AGGACGAAGCAGAUCUCACUUAUUUGAUUGGCAUCUUGGUCGGAACAGUCGUAACAGUUUUACUACUUUGUGCCAUUAUUGCAGUUGUCGUGCGAUUAAAGUCGCAGAGAAACCAAAAAGAAUCUGAAGAGCUGAAAGAUGUGAAGUGUGAAAUUCCAUUGCAGAAUUACAAAGAAGAAUCCAUUGAUUCAACUAUGGAAAGUCCUGACGUUAUUCCUGCAGAAAGUCAAG